UGCAUCGGCCGGGAAUAUAACCCGGGCUGCCCGCGUGGCAGGCGAGCAUUCUACCACUGAACCACCGAUGC
rnacentral:tRNA from 1 species